UACGUAGGGGGCAAGCGUUGUCCGGAUUUAUUGGGCGUAAAGAGCGUGUAGGCGGCUAGAUAGGUCCGUUGUGAAAACUCGAGGCUCAACCUCGAGACGUCGAUGGAAACCAUCUGGCUAGAGUCCGGAAGAGGAGAGUGGAAUUCCUGGUGUAGCGGUGAAAUGCGCAGAUAUCAGGAAGAACACCAGUGGCGAAGGCGGCUCUCUGGUACGUGACUGACGCUGAGACGCGAAAGCGUGGGGAGCAAACAGG
rnacentral:rRNA from 1 species